AUUGAACGCUGGCGGCAGGCCUAACACAUGCAAGUCGAACGGUAACAGGAAGCAGCUUGCUGCUUCGCUGACGAGUGGCGGACGGGUGUGUAAUGUCUGGGAAACUGCCUGAUGGAGGGGGAUAACUACUGGAAACGGUAGCUAAUACCGCAUAACGUCGCAAGACCAAAGAGGGGGACCUUAUGGCCUCUUGCCCUCGGAUGUGCCCAGAUGGGAUUUGCUAGUAGGUGGGGUAACGGCUCACCCAGGCGACGAUCCCUAGCUGGUCUGAGAGGAUGACCAGCCACACUGGAACUGAGACACGGUCCAGACUCCUACGGGAGGCAGCAGUGGGGAAUAUUGCACAAUGGGCGCAAGCCUGAUGCAGCCAUGCCGCGUGUAUGAAGAAGGCCUUCGGGUUGUAAAGUACUUUCAGCGGGGAGGAAGGGAGUAAAGUUAAUACCUUGGCUCAUUGACGUUACCCGCAGAAGAAGCACCGGCUAACUCCGUG
rnacentral:rRNA from 1 species